rnacentral:misc_RNA from 1 species
GAUGAAGAACGUAGCGAAAUGCGAUAAGUAAUGUGAAUUGCAGAAUUCAGUGAAUCAUCGAAUCUUUGAACGCACCUUGCACCCUUUGGCAUUCCGAAGGGUAUGCUCGUUUGAGUGUCAUUGUACUCUCACACUCUCCGAUCCUAUGGAUUCGGGGAGCGGUGGACUUGGGUGUUGCUGCCUUUCCUUGUGGCUCACCUCAAAUGUGUCAGUGCACCUCUUGGUUGGACAUAGUACGGCGUGAUAAGUGUCUUCGCCGGCACCUCGCAAGAGGGUGGCCGAUCGGGAGCUCUGUGCUUUCAAACCGUCUUCGGACAAUUUCUGACAACUUGACCUCAAAUCGAGUAGGACUACCCGCUGAACUUAAGCAUAUCAAUAAGCGGGGA